UACGGGGGGGGCAAGCGUUGUUCGGAAUUACUGGGCGUAAAGGGCUCGUAGGCGGCCAACUAAGUCAGACGUGAAAUCCCUCAGCUUAACUGGGGAACUGCGUCUGAUACUGGAUGGCUUGGAUCCGGAAGAGGGAUGCGGAAUUCCAGGUGUAGCGGUGAAAUGCGUAGAUAUCUGGAGGAACACCGGUGGCGAAGGCGGCAUCCUGGGCCGGUAUUGACGCUGAGGAGCGAAAGCCAGGGGAGCAAACGGGG
rnacentral:rRNA from 1 species